rnacentral:rRNA from 1 species
GAUGAACGCUGGCGGCGUGCUUAAUACAUGCAAGUCGAGCGAACAGACGAUAUUGCUUGUACUCUCUGACGUUAGCGGUGGAUGGGUGAGUAAUACGCUGGUAACCUACCUAUAAGACUGGGAUAACUUUGGGAAACCGGAGCUAAUACUGGAUCAUAUUUAUCUUCGCAUUAGGCAAUAUUGAAAGACGGUUCUGCUGUCACUUAUAGAUGGACCUGUGGUGUAUUAGUUAGUUGGUGAGGUAACGACUCACCAAGGCAACGAUACAUAGCCGACCUGAGAGGGUGAUCGGCCACACUGGGACUGAGACACGGCCCAGACUCCUACGGGAGGCAGCAGUAGCGAAUCUUCCGCAAUGGACGAAAGUCUGACGGAGCAAUGCCACGUGAGUGAAGAAGGUUUUCGGAUCGUAAAACUCUGUUGUAAGUGAAGAACAAGUACAUUAGUAACUGAACGUACCUUGACGGUACCUUAACAAAAAGCCACGGCUAACUACGUG